UACGUAGGGGGCAAGCGUUGUCCGGAUUUAUUGGGCGUAAAGAGCUCGUAGGCGGUUUGGUAAGUCUGGUGUGAAAUCUCCACGCUCAACGUGGAGGGGCCACCCGAUACUGCCAUGACUGGAGUCCGGUAGAGGAGUGUGGAAUUCCCGGUGUAGCGGUGAAAUGCGCAGAUAUCGGGAAGAACACCCGUGGCGAAGGCGGCUCUCUGGAACGCAACUGACGCUGAGACGCGAAAGCGUGGGGAGCAAACAGG
rnacentral:rRNA from 1 species